rnacentral:rRNA from 1 species
UACGGAGGGUGCAAGCGUUAUCCGGAUUUACUGGGUUUAAAGGGUGUGUAGGCGGACUUUUAAGUCAGCGGUGAAAUCUCCGGGCUCAACCCGGAAACUGCCAUUGAUACUAUUAGUCUUGAAUAUUGUUGAGGUAGGCGGAACGGGUCAUGUAGCGGUGAAAUGCAUAGAUAUGACCCGGAACACCGAUUGCGAAGGCAGCCUACUAAGCAAUUAUUGACGCUGAGGCACGAAAGCGUGGGGAUCAAACAGGAGUUAGAAAC